rnacentral:rRNA from 1 species
CACGUAGGGCGCAAGCGUUGUCCGGAUUUAUUGGGCGUAAAGAGCUCGUAGGCGGUCUGUUGCGUCUGCUGUGAAAACUCGGGGCUUAACCCCGAGCCUGCAGUGGAUACGGGCAGACUAGAGGUAGGUAGGGGAGAAUGGAAUUCCCGGUGUAGCGGUGAAAUGCGCAGAUAUCGGGAGGAACACCGGUGGCGAAGGCGGUUCUCUGGGCCUUAACUGACGCUGAGGAGCGAAAGCGUGGGGAGCGAACAGG